CCCUGUGAAGGUAACAUAGUAAGCAAAAUUAGCACAGCCCAAAACGCCAGGGUCGAGGUGUAGCAUAUGAGAGGGGAAGAAAUGGGCUACAUUCCCUGUUCUUUCUGGGAAUACGAACAAUGUAAUGAAAUAUACAUUAGAAGGAGGAUUUAGCAGUAAGCAUAAAAUAGAGUAGUUUUGCUGAAAUUGGCCCUGAAGCGCGCACACACCGCCCGUCACCCUCCCUGACCCAACAAAUCAAAGACUUUACAUCUUUCUACGUAAAGGGAGGCAAGUCGUA
rnacentral:rRNA from 1 species